AUGGAAAAGCCUAGAAUGUGUGAAAAUGAGACUCAAUGCAUUAGCAAAUCAAUGCUGAUCACUCCUGCAUGGUCCUCAAGUCCUAACGAAUGCUCCAGCCUCCUGGCAGGAAACCUUUCAAAUCUUGCACACGCUGGCCUCUGCCUGGGGUGCCUGGCUGGGCGGUGUGGGGGGCAUGGUUGGUUAAGGCGCAGAGUCCGCCUUUCCUACCAGCCACUCUAGCUGAGGGUCAAGCUCUGGACCCUCCCCCAACCAUCCAGCUCCAUUUUAUCCUUGGCUUAUGCCUUCCCCAAGUACUGCAGGGUAGGACUCCUGCUAAAAACUUCUUCUAGAUGCUUGCCUGAGGCUGGCCCCAUAAACCUGAUUCUAGGCUUCUGGGGAUAAAUCAUCUAACUAAUAUAAGAGAAUUGCUAGGCAAUUGGGGUUAGUUUGAGACGACUGGCUGAGCUCACCUUAGGUGAGCUGGGGGGUGGGGGAAGAUGAGCUGAAGGAUUCUAGGGUUCAGUGAAGCCUAGAAUGGCUGGGUGGGCGGAGAGUCCUUAGAAGGGUCCAACUUCUAGCCUGAGGGCCUGGGGGCUUCCAGGGAUCUGCAGCCGAGCGGAAGACCGGUCUUGCGUACAGCGAGGCCUACGAGAGCUAAGUGGGCUGAGGGUCCCUGGAAAAGACCAGCCUGGGGGCGGGGACCAUCGAUGCCCCAGGCUCUAGAGGCCGUGGGCUCCCGGGGGCCUGAGGCUGGACUGGGGUCGCCGG
rnacentral:lncRNA from 1 species